rnacentral:rRNA from 1 species
GAUGAACGCUGGCGGCGUGCUUAACACAUGCAAGUCGUACGAAGCACCUUAUUCUGAUUUCUUCGGAAUGAAAAAUUUGGUGACUGAGUGGCGGACGGGUGAGUAACGCGUGGGUAACCUGCCUCAUACAGGGGGAUAACAGUUAGAAAUGACUGCUAAUACCGCAUAAGACCACAGUACCGCAUGGUACAGGGGUAAAAACUCCGGUGGUAUGAGAUGGACCCGCGUCUGAUUAGGUAGUUGGUGGGGUAACGGCCUACCAAGCCGACGAUCAGUAGCCGACCUGAGAGGGUGACCGGCCACAUUGGGACUGAGUCACGGCCCAAACUCCUACGGGAGGCAGCAGUGGGGAAUAUUGCACAAUGGGGGAAACCCUGAUGCAGCGACGCCGCGUGAGCGAUGAAGUAUUUCGGAUCGUAAACUCCUGUCCUUGGAGACGAGUAGAAGACGGUAUCCAAGGAGGAAGCCCCGGCUAACUACGUGCCAGCAGCCGCGGUAAUAC